CCCUUCUCCAGGGGAUCUUCCCAACCCAGGGAUCAAACCCAGGUCUCCCGCAUUGCAGGCAGAUUCUUUACCAGCUAAGCCACAACCCUGAACCAGUUCCUUUGCUGGGUAACCUCUGAUGAAAAAUUUUUCAAGCAUUUGACUUAUUUUAAAGAGUUGAAUUUAAAUUCAUUAAUGCUGCACUGUACUAAUGGUUACUUACAAAUGCCUAUUGGUUAAGUCUUAGCAUUUAAAAGUGAACCAUCCAUACAAAAUGUAAUAAUUUAGAAUUAAAUGGUUAUGAUUUACUAAGUAAUCAUCAGAUUAUGAGAGAUAAGAAUGAGGCAAUCUUUACAAAGAUGUUUAGACUCACCAAGAUGAUUCCCACCUCUGAGAUGUUAAUGGCUUUUGAGAUUUUUAAGGCAAUUUCAUCUGUUUAUAUCUGGUACCCAUGCAGUAGGAGUGAAGCCAUAGGAGUGGCCCUUCUGUCCACUCAUUUCAGCUCCUCUCUGCUGGAAUGGAUGUGUGUGAAUGGGAUUAAGAGGUCUCUGUAGCCUUCUCUACAUGGGAGCGCUAGAAGGUGCAAGGUUCACCAAGACCCUGUGUUAUCCCCUGGAAUAAGACUUCAGAAGCGAGAGAAAAGGACAAAGCUCAAUCUGAACUAAGUGAAUUUGAAUGGGUCUCAUAAAGUACAUCUGAGAGUAGGCUCAGCAGGUGAGAAUUAAAACAGCCCAGGCUCCUGAACGGGGUGAAACCUUGCCUGGACCUCUAACCAGUGCCGCAUGCAUAGAUCUCAAUGCCUCCCUUUAACAGAGUUCAUGGAAAACUCAUCAAUGAGUUAUUAACAUGGCCCACUCUGGAAAGUUUAUGCUCUGACCUCAGAGUUGUUGGAGGACUAAUUUUUACAUCCAAUUUGUAAACCAAAAGAGAAAUAUGUUAAGAUGAAGAUAUAAAUGUGCAUGGUUGGUACGUUCCUGAAAAGUUGUGUAUAAAUCAAUUAUACAUUAAAAGCACCAGGGGAAAUUACUUUUUAUGGAUGAACUAUUAUGAAUAAUUCUAUAAAGCACAUAACCACCUCUAGCUUAUCUUUCCAGUAUAUCAGAAUUUUCAUAUAUCGUAUUCUCAAAAGAUUUGUUUAAAAGCAAGAUCUGUCUGCAGUAGAAAUAAAGACUAACCACUUAUACUUAGCUCCUUUUAAGUACUGUGUGUGCAACUUCUCAUAAAUAUUAUGUUUUAUGAUGCCUUCCUAAGAGAAAUAAUUUCCUAAUUUUGUAGUUCAUAUUACAAGAGUAAAAUUUUCUAGCAUUUUCUAACAUUACAAUAAAUCAAUGAUGACUGCCUUUCAGCAAAUCUAAAGGUAGAAUAAACCUGUAGAGUAAAAAGUUGCUAUUUACUUGCAGUGAAUACUAUGCAAAUGAACUUAGAAAAUAUCAUUAAGCAUUUUAUGGCAAUACAUCUCAAUGAUGGGGGGAAAAAUUCAACCUUGAAGAAAAUGAAUAGAUUGGUUUAUAUGCUUCUCUCUGCAGUAUAAGAAAACUUGUAUGUAUAUGAAUUAUGAUUUUAAAAGAAAUGCUUUUUUGAAGCUAACAUUCAAAAGUGAAAUCCAAUAACAUCUUUCGUUUGUGAGUUAAAUUCUCUUCUAAUUCUAAAAUUCAUUGACAUAAAUUUGUGAUUUGCUUAGGAUUUAACAUUAUUAAUUAUAAUAAUCCUAGUGAAAAAUUCCAGUCUCACAUUAAGAAGAAGUAGAAAGCUAUUAUAAAGGAAAAUAAAAAUAAAUGUUUUGCAGAUGA
ensembl:lncRNA